GACGAACGCUGGCGGCGUGCUUAACACAUGCAAGUCGAACGGAAAGGCCCUGCUUUUGUGGGGUGCUCGAGUGGCGAACGGGUGAGUAACACGUGAGUAACCUGCCCUUGACUUUGGGAUAACUUCAGGAAACUGGGGCUAAUACCGGAUAGGAGCUCCUGCUGCAUGGUGGGGGUUGGAAAGUUUCGGCGGUUGGGGAUGGACUCGCGGCUUAUCAGCUUGUUGGUGGGGUAGUGGCUUACCAAGGCUUUGACGGGUAGCCGGCCUGAGAGGGUGACCGGCCACAUUGGGACUGAGAUACGGCCCAGACUCCUACGGGAGGCAGCAGUGGGGAGUAUUGCACAAUGGGCGGAAGCCUGAUGCAACAACGCCGCGUGCGGGAUGACGGCCUUCGGGUUGUAAACCGCUUUCGCCUGUGACGAAGCGUGAGUGACGGUAAUGGGUAAAGAAGCACCGGCUAACUACGUG
rnacentral:rRNA from 1 species